GCUCGCCUCACGCCGGCCGGAGAUGGCAGCAGCGCGGGCGGCCCCGGGCCUGUGACCACAAAGAGGGAGCCGGGGGCCGGACGGGAGAGCGGCGGCGGCGGCGGCUGAGGCCCAGGCCAGGCCCCCUCCCCUCAGUCUCCCGCCCGCCCGCCCGCCUGCCCCGCCCCCGCCGGCGGCGCCCCGCCCCUCCCCCAACCGCCAGACUAGCCUGGUGCGGUGGCCGCGCGUGAAGACAUGGGGGAGAGGCUGAGGCUGGAGUCGCCCGUGGGGGCCGAGCCCGCCGUCUACCCGUGGCCGCUGCCGGUCUACGAAAUCCAUCUCCGUCCUUUGCGGGGGCAGUCCCGAGCUCAUGUUUUAACGGACGCGAAUGCAAACCGUGGUUCUCACGUGACCUUCUGAAGAGCCCCCGCAGCAGGCCCAGGCUCUGCAGACCGGGGGACGAAAGGACCAAGGAACUCUGACCGCCCUCAGGAAUCCCAAGUGACUGGAGGGACACAGCGUCAGGGCCCCAGGCAGUGUCGCCCACUGUUCCGGAGGUGGGCGGAGGCUCCGCAGCUUCAUUUCGUCCAAUCCCUUCCAGUAUUUAAAAUUGUUGUCAAGAUGCUGCAUUAACUCAGGCAGGUCUACAAAGGCGUCCCGAGCAGCAAACAUGUCUGUGAUGAAAUAGUGAAAGAGAUUUGGGAUUCGGGGAUGCUGCAGGUAUUUCUUUCAAAAACUGGCAUCACCACAGGCAAGUCCUGUCGCUUCUCUU